rnacentral:rRNA from 1 species
UACGGAGGGUGCAAGCGUUAUCCGGAUUCACUGGGUUUAAAGGGUGCGUAGGUGGGCAGGUAAGUCAGUGGUGAAAUCUCCGGGCUUAACCCGGAAACUGCCAUUGAUACUAUUUGUCUUGAAUACCGUGGAGGUCAGCGGAAUAUGUCAUGUAGCGGUGAAAUGCUUAGAUAUGACAUAGAACACCAAUUGCGAAGGCAGCUGGCUACACGAAUAUUGACACUGAUGCACGAAAAGCGUGGGGAUCAAACAGG